rnacentral:lncRNA from 1 species
GCACACUUUGUGCCCUGUGCACUUACAGGCUGUGCCCAGGUGGGCCUGAAGCAGCUGACGCUGAGGUCUUUCUUCCUUCCUUUCAUACAGGAGGAUAGCCAGGUGCAGUUGAGCUCCAUGUUUAUCUUCCGAGACAUGCUGGAUUGUUUUCUGGAAGAGAAAAAAAAGGCCCUGAAGGCACACGUGCGCCAGAGCCUGCUGCCACUCUCCUUCCACUGCCAUGAUGAGAACCAGCGAGUUGCAGAGGCGAGGACUCGGCAGCUGCUGCUGUUCCCCUGGCAGGGGCUGGGCUGCCUCCUGCCCUGGCACCUCGCAGGCUGCAGCCUCCUGCUGGCCUUGGCACAGGGACGGGUCCUGUGCCCUGGGCUGUGGGGCCAUCUCCGCGUCUCUGCUGCUCUCCAGGCUUCUCAGGAAACGCUGCUUUGUGCAGCCGAGUUCCUGAAGCAGAGGGAUCUCGAAAAGCUGCUGAAGAACCAGAAGCCGUGGAAGUUCACCGAGUGCCUGCUGGCAGAGGACAGCAGCAGCGUGGCCGAGCACCUGCGCCGGGCCCUGCCCUACCUGCAGAGCCCACAGGAGCCCCUGCGAGAGGCGGCCGUCAGGUUCAUGGGUGAGCCACGAGCCGGGCCAGGAGGCCGUGUGGGCACAGGGCUGGCAGCGCCGCUGGCAGGGAGCUGUGCCGCCGGGCCUGACAGGCUCUGUGUUCCCAGGGACGGCCGGGCGGUACCUGAGGGGGAGGAAGGAAGAGCUCCAGCUCAUCUCUGAGGCCCUUGAAGGCAUGGCCAAUGACAUCAGUGUCCCUGUCGCAAGCCUGGCAGUUCAAACAUUGUACGUCCUCCAGGAAGCAGAGAGAGCUCCAUACUCCAUCUUUGACAACCUGCAUGAUCGGCUCCGCAGGGCAUGGAGGAGACGGCCUCGUCUGUCGGGGCUCGGCUGGCUGCGCUGCUGGAGCUCUGCAGAGAGCUGAUCCCAGAGGCUCUGUCUGCUGGGGCCGCCCGAGCCAGCAGGAAUGUUUCGUUUCUUUAAGAUUGUUCUUUUCUUUCUCUUUGUUUUACUUUAGCAUAUAAAUAUAGGAUGUGUUUUAAUAGACAGACUCCCAGGAUCUUUCUUUUGCUGCCCAGGUUCUGCAGGGCCUAGGGGAAGAGGGACAAAAGGGAUCCUGGGCUCAGCAAGCUGCCCAGGCAUGCAGGGUUGCAGGGAAAAUGGCCAGAAGCCCCUUGGCCUUUGGUGGUUCUGCCGAAGCCUUUGUGCUGCCCACAGAGCAGAUGGGCAGGGGCUGGAGCUGUGGGGAUCUCUGUGAGAGCGGUGCCUGGAGAUGGCCACAAGCCCUGUCCCAGGCAGGAAGCGCCAUCCGUGUCCUCCUGCCCGUGUGUUGCUGCCUGGAUUGCUGAGGGCUCCCAGGUGCCUCUGGAUGGGCUCCUCUGGAGCUCCUGUGGGGCUGCGGCGCUGCUGCCGGGCAGGUUGGCCGGGCUGGGGAGAGCCUGAGGGGACGGGGCCACGAAGGGAUGAGGGGCUGCGGAAGCCCUGACAGGACAAGGCAGUGGGAAGGCACGGGGGGGACGUGUGAGGGAGUGGGUAACGUUGGCUCGGGGAGGAAAGUGGGUUGGAGCCAAAGAGACCACUCACCCCGAUGUUCCUGUGGCAAACAGAGCACGUUUAUUCUCAAGCCCUUCCUUCUAAAGGGCCUUUGAAAAACCCAGUCUGGAUGAUUUCACUGGUCUGAUCUCUGUGCCCCUUCAGAUUCUGGCCUGGGGAAUGCCUGCAGCCUUGGGAGAGCUGUGAUGGGCCAGGCCCCUGUCAGUCAAACCAGGGCUGGUACAUUCACCCCGUACAAGCCAGCCUGCACGGUGACACGGCAACAGAGUGCGAGGCACAGCUGCGGGUGCUCCCCGUGAACCUCAGCUCUGGGACCACUGC